UACGGGGGGGGCAAGCGUUGUUCGGAAUUACUGGGCGUAAGGCGUGCGCAGGCGGUUGUGUAAGUCAGAUGUGAAAUCCCCGGGCUCAACCCGGGAACUGCGUCCGAUACUGGGAGGCUUGAAUCCGGGAGAGGGAUGUGGAAUUCCAGGUGUAGCGGUGAAAUGCGUAGAUAUCUGGAGGAACACCGGUGGCGAAGGCGGCAUCCUGGACCGGUAUUGACGCUGAGGCGCGAAAGCUAGGGGAGCAAACGGG
rnacentral:rRNA from 1 species